rnacentral:tRNA from 2 species
GCCGGAGUGGUGAAAUUGGUAGACGCGCCGGACUCAAAAUCCGGUGUCCGCAAGGACAUGCCGGUUCGACUCCGGCCUCCGGCA